GUCAGGAUGGCCGAGUGGUCUAAGGGCGCCAGACUCAAGUUCUGGUCUCCUCAUGGAGGCGUGGGUUCAAAUCCCACUCCUGACA